rnacentral:rRNA from 1 species
AUGAACGCUAGCGAUAGGCUUAACACAUGCAAGUCGAGGGGCAGCACAAGGUAGCUUGCUAUCUGGGUGGCGACCGGCGCACGGGUGCGUAACGCGUAUGCAACUUGCCCUAUACAGGAGGAUAACCCGUCGAAAGACGGACUAAUACUGCGUAUGCUCACAACUUGGCAUCAAGUGGUGAGGAAAGAAAUUCGGUAUAGGAUAGGCAUGCGUCCCAUUAGCUUGUUGGUGAGGUAACGGCUCACCAAGGCAACGAUGGGCAGGGGAACUGAGAGGUUUAUCCCCCACACUGGUACUGAGACACGGACCAGACUCCUACGGGAGGCAGCAGUGAGGAAUAUUGGUCAAGGGGCGCGAGCCUGAACCAGCCAAGUCGCGUGAAGGAGGACUGUCUUAUGGAUUGUAAACUUCUUUUAUACGGGAAUAACAAGAGUCACGUGUGACUCCCUGCAUGUACCGUAUGAAUAAGCAUCGGCUAACUCCGUG